GGCACGGGUCUCGAAGACGCCAGAGCUCCCUUCUAGGACCAGGCACCAUCUGAACAACACGUGCUGUGAUCAGCAGGCAGCGCUCCCACGUGUCUUCACAUAUGAGACCUGGGGAAAUCUGGUGGAGGCACCUCAACGUACCAUAGAUGUCCUCCUCCGUCAGGCCCAUACAGCUUGGAGGGUGAGCAGGACCAUUAUCCAUAAGUAAAAGGACCCUGAAUGGCAAUUAUUUUUUAAUGAGUUACUAUUUGACUGAUGUUGUUGGUCAACAACCAAGAGAACGUAUGAAAACCUGGACAUUUUUUCUCAAACACCUUGUUUGAAAACUGAUCUAUUCGACAAGUAAUGCAGUCAACAAUUGAGGUUCAACUACAGCGUUUACGUUUAAUAAAACAAAAACAAAAAUAAUGUACAAAAUAUUAUGCACAAUGCCUCGUAUUUCUUGUUUGGCUGGUCAUCAUUCGACUCCUGGAGUUUUAUACAGCAUGUUUUCAGCAACAUCUCAGGUAACUGCA